UUUCGCGUGCUACAUUCACACUUUGAAUUAUAUGAAUUCCCAAUAGAUUGUCCUUGAAACCGGCAUUAUACUUUUGUUUGUUUCCUUUGCUUUAAAGUCUUUGUAUUAUAAAAUGUGCUUUUUUGAUAAGCAUUCGCCAAGGUUUUUAGUUUCUCGAUCGUCAGUAAAUUAUCUCUUUAAUUGUUCUUUUUUCAUUCUUACUUUCCUUUGCCCGCGUCACAACUACAUUCAGCCUUGUUUUGAAGGAAUAAUGCUGAUCGAAAGAGGGAGUGUCGAAUUGGUGUGAAUUUCCGCAUCGUUAAUAAGCACUGUCAAAACCUGUGAGUUGCAGCGCCUGGUGACUUAUACGCAUGCCAGCUGAGAGCAUGCUCAGAAAUGGUUACUCUUCUAGAUCAUUCUUAGAGUACAACUACGUGUACUGUCCAUCAACCUGAGUUCCAGAUGGUUGGAAGGACACCCACCUAUUAGGAAGAACCUUGGAGUGGGCUAGGCUGGUCCAUCAUGGAAUACGGAUUCACGCACACAAGACAAGACAAGGACACGAAGAACGACAGUGCCAACUCGUGAGCAUCUCACGAAAGACCACCGCCACAACCUACACCAUAAGAUUUAAAGAAAAGAAAAACCACGCACCAUUUACGACACUGAAGAACUAAGCUAUCAGACUUUUUACAUUUGUUUUUUUACUGAGUUUAUCGUUUUUGACCUCAUUAUUUUAUACUCUUUCUGGGUGCACUUUCUUCCGAGCAAGGUAUACAUUUCUUCUAGGCAAAUUAUUCCCUGGUAGGGCUGUCCGCUGUAUCAGAGGUAAGUUGGUUAUUUCGU